UAUGCCUGAACUGCUUCCGUAGAUGUAAUCUUGUUUGGGUAAUUCGAGCGUAAGAGGUUUGUCAUUUGCAGCGAGCAAAUAAGCAUAAAAACGAGCAUCCUGCAAACACAGGCUGGCCGGAAAAUUAAUGUUGAACUGGAGUCAACACUUGCAAAUGUACGAGUAGGUUGUUUUUGAUCUACGGGUAACUUCGGUGUUUCAAACGUAUUAUUUAGUAAUUAUUGUAUUUAUUUUUCUUAAUUAAAACUAAUUAUUGUGUA